GCCGGGCUUGGUGGUGCAUGCCUGUAAUCCCAGCUACUCAGGAGGCUAAGGUGGGAGAAUUGCUUGAACCCAGGAGGCCGAGGUUGCAGUGAGCCGAGAUUGCGCCACUGCACUCCAGCCUGGGUGACAGAGCAAGACUCCAUCUAAA
rnacentral:SRP_RNA from 1 species